UACAGAGGUCCCAAGCGUUGUUCGGAUUCAUUGGGCGUAAAGUGUGCGCAGGCGGCCGCGCAAGUCGAGUGUGAAAGCCCCGAGCUUAACUUGGGAAUUGCGCUCGAAACUACGUGGCUGGAGUGUGGCAGAGGAAGGUGGAAUUCCACGUGUAGCGGUGAAAUGCGUAGAGAUGUGGAGGAACACCGAUGGCGAAGGCAGCCUUCUGGGCCAACACUGACGCUCAUGCACGAAAGCGUGGGGAGCAAACAGG
rnacentral:rRNA from 1 species